rnacentral:rRNA from 1 species
UACGUAGGGCGCAAGCGUUGUCCGGAAUUAUUGGGCGUAAAGAGCUCGUAGGCGGUUUGUCGCGUCGGGAGUGAAAACGCCGUGCUUAACACGGCGCUUGCUUUCGAUACGGGCAGACUAGAGGUAUGCAGGGGAGAACGGAAUUCCUGGUGUAGCGGUGAAAUGCGCAGAUAUCAGGAGGAACACCGGUGGCGAAGGCGGUUCUCUGGGCAUUACCUGACGCUGAGGAGCGAAAGUGUGGGGAGCGAACAGG